rnacentral:rRNA from 1 species
GCAAGUCGUACGUGAAAGUGGACUUCGGUCCGCGAGUAAAGUGGCGCACGGGUGAGUAACACGUGAAUAAUCUACCCGGUGACCUGGGAUAACACUUUAAAAAGAGUGAUAAUACCAGAUAAGCUCACGAUGUCUUAGGACGAUGUGGGAAAAGGUGGGGACCUUCGGGCCUACCAUCACCGGAUGAGUCCGCGGCCCAUUAGCUAGUUGGCGGGGUAAUGGCCUACCAAGGCUACGAUGGGUAGCUGGUCUGAGAGGAUGAUC